GGAUGCGAUCAUACCAGCACUAAAGCACCGGAUCCCAUUAGAACUCCGAAGUUAAGCGUGCUUGGUCGAGAGUAGUACUAGGAUGGGUGACCUCCUGGGAAGUCCUCGUGUUGCAUUCC
rnacentral:rRNA from 1 species